GGGGGGGCGGGGGGGUUUUUUUUUUUGUUUUUUUUCCGCUCGAUUGAACGCUAGCGGGAUGCUUUACACAUGCAAGUCGAACGGCAGCCCGAGAGAGCUUGCUCUCUUGGCGGCGAGUGGCGGACGGGUGAGUAAUAUAUCGGAACGUGCCCAGUAGCGGGGGAUAACUACUCGAAAGAGUGGCUAAUACCGCAUACGCCCUACGGGGGAAAGGGGGGGAUCGCAAGACCUCUCACUAUUGGAGCGGCCGAUAUCGGAUUAGCUAGUUGGUGGGGUAAAGGCUCACCAAGGCAACGAUCCGUAGCUGGUUUGAGAGGACGACCAGCCACACUGGGACUGAGACACGGCCCAGACUCCUACGGGAGGCAGCAGUGGGGAAUUUUGGACAAUGGGGGAAACCCUGAUCCAGCCAUCCCGCGUGUAUGAUGAAGGCCUUCGGGUUGUAAAGUACUUUUGGCAGAGAAGAAAAGGUACCUCCUAAUACGAGGUACUGCUGACGGUAUCUGCAGAAUAAGCACCGGCUAACUACGUGCCAGCAGCCGCGGUAAUACGUAGGGUGCAAGCGUUAAUCGGAAUUACUGGGCGUAAAGCGUGUGUAGGCGGUUCGGAAAGAAAGAUGUGAAAUCCCAGGGCUCAACCUUGGAACUGCAUUUUUAACUGCCGAGCUAGAGUAUGUCAGAGGGGGGUAGAAUUCCACGUGUAGCAGUGAAAUGCGUAGAUAUGUGGAGGAAUACCGAUGGCGAAGGCAGCCCCCUGGGAUAAUACUGACGCUCAGACACGAAAAGAGCGC
rnacentral:rRNA from 1 species